rnacentral:rRNA from 1 species
UACAGAGACUGCGAGCGUUAUUCGGAUUCACUGGGCGUAAAGGGUGCGCAGGCGGCCGAGUGUGUGAGGCGUGAAAGCCCGGGGCUCAACCCCGGAAUUGCACCUCAAACUACAUGGCUAGAGCAUUGGAGAGGGUAGCGGAAUUCACGGUGUAGCAGUGAAAUGCGUAGAUAUCGUGAGGAACACCAAUGGCGAAGGCAGCUCGCUGGGACGGUACUGACGCUGAGGCGCGAAAGCGUGGGGAGCAAACAGG